rfam:Gossypium arboreum cultivar AKA8401 contig_40302_1, whole genome shotgun sequence.
UAUUAGAAAUUUCAUCCAUUUCUAUUAUAAAAACUUAGCGUGGCAGUUAUACGUGAUGUGCCACAUGUACCUCAUGUUUACAUACAAAAACUAUUUUUUAACAGUAUAAAUUGAUGAAAUUUUUAAUA